CAUUAGAUGGCUGAAUUAAUAAGCAAUGGUCUCUUAAACCAUAAAAUGGUUAGAUAUUAACCUCUAAUGG
rnacentral:tRNA from 1 species